CCCUGACAGCCCCUAAUGGGCUGACACUAGCCACGACAGGAGAGACACAUG
rnacentral:sRNA from 12 species